rnacentral:rRNA from 1 species
CAGUGUCUGGUGGGUAGUUUGACUGGGGCGGUCUCCUCCUAAAGCGUAACGGAGGAGCACGAAGGUUGGCUAAUCCUGGUCGGACAUCAGGAGGUUAGUGCAAUGGCAUAAGCCAGCUUGACUGCGAGCGUGACGGCGCGAGCAGGUGCGAAAGCAGGUCAUAGUGAUCCGGUGGUUCUGAAUGGAAGGGCCAUCGCUCAACGGAUAAAAGGUACUCCGGGGAUAACAGGCUGAUACCGCCCAAGAGUUCAUAUCGACGGCGGUGUUUGGCACCUCGAUGUCGGCUCAUCACAUCCUGGGGCUGAAGUAGGUCCCAAGGGUAUGGCUGUUCGCCAUUUAAAGUGGUACGCGAGCUGGGUUUAGAACGUCGUGAGACAGUUCGGUCCCUAUCUGCCGUGGGCGCUGGAGAACUGAGGGGGGCUGCUCCUAGUACGAGAGGACCGGAGUGGACGCAUCACUGGUGUUCGGGUUGUCAUGCCAAUGGCACUGCCCGGUAGCUAAAUGCGGAAGAGAUAAGUGCUGAAAGCAUCUAAGCACGAAACUUGCCCCG